GAUUUCUGACUUGGCGCACCUAGCCCGCCACGGUUACGUGUGUGAGUGCCGGGAUGCGCCUGUCACUUUUCUGGUAAACUAUUGUGCUCUUCAUUGAGUGUGAUAGGUAGCCAGAUAUUUUACUUUGAAAAAAUUAGAGUGUUUAAAGCAGGCGUUUGCUAUGAAUACAUUAGCAUGGAAUAAUAAUUUAGGACUUUGGCCCUAUUUUGUUGGUUUCUAGGACUGAAGUAAUGAUUGAUAGGGAUAGUUGGGGGUGCUCGAAUUCAGCGGCCAGAGGUGAAAUUCUUGGAUUCGCUGAAGACGAACUCAUGCGAAAGCAUU
rnacentral:rRNA from 1 species